rnacentral:rRNA from 1 species
UACGUAGGGGGCUAGCGUUGUCCGGAUUUAUUGGGCGUAAAGAGCGUGUAGGCGGCCAGGUAGGUCUGCUGUGAAAACUCGAGGCUCAACCCCAGAGGGUCGGCCGAUACUGGCAAGCUAGAGUACGGAAGAGGUAGCUGGAAUUCCCGGUGUAGCGGUGAAAUGCGUAGAUAUCGUCUGGAACGCCAAAGGUGAAAACAGACUGCUGGGAGUGUGCUGACGCUGAGACACGAAAGCCAGGGGAGCAAACGGG